rnacentral:lncRNA from 1 species
CUGCAUAGCACAGCAGGAUGCGCUGGGCAGGAGUCUGAAGGCGUGUCUGAAGAUCAACAUUGGGAACGCUAAGAUGUACGUACUGUAAUUGACUACAGAUAGAAAAAUAUAUGUAUCUUUGUUUACAUGGUUUAACUGACUUUUGAACUCCCCCCUCAGUCUGACAGAUGAGCUGAUCCACAGAGAGAGGCCCCAGGAGCAGGCUGGGCCCAAUAGGAAGGCCCCCCUGCUCCCACACUCCCUUAACACCAGAGAGCCCAGCCGCCCCCAGCAGCAGCAGCAGGAGAGCCAAACGAUGAUGAGGCCUCCCCCGCCCAGCACCAGAGAGCAUGUUCCACCUCACCAGGAGCAGGAAAGCCUGAGGAUGACUAGGCAUACCUGGGGCCCCUCUCCCAUCCCUGGCCCUCUGCCCUUACCCAGCUCCAGCCCUGUCUCAGACUCCGGCCCCAACGUCAUCAUAGAGGAGAUUAUAGAGGAGAUUGAACAAGGAGGAGAAGGGAAGGACGAAGUCGGUUUGAAAUCCUGCCAUCAAGUCACCACAGCCUCAUCCAAAACCACUGCAUCAGGGUUCUCAGUUGGAAUUGUCCCAGCUCACCUGUCUGAGCUGCAGCAGGCCAGUGAGAGACAGAGAGCCCAGAGGAGCAGCAAGAAGAGCCAGGAGGACCUCCCACCUGUCAGUCAGGGGAAAGGUAGAAGAGAGACAGACACACAUGUCACAUAAUAACAUGCACAACAGUUAUGGUCACAUAAUCUAUAACUUGAUGAAUAGAGACACAUAGAAACUGUGCGUGUGUUCAGUGUUCCAGGAGUGGGUGAUGGUGACCCAUGUGGUGAACCCUAACCACUUCUACAUCCGCCACGUGGCAGAGCAGAGGGCCUGUAUUCUGCUGUCCAAGAAGAUCAACUCCCUCUGCUCUGGAGAGAGAGGACUGUUCACAGCCAGCGACAUACUGGAGACUGGUGAGAUCACUGUGUGUGUGUGAUACCUUACUGUGGGUAUGUCCCUCUCCCUAGGCUUUAUGGUGUUUGUGAAAUGAAAGCAGUGCGAUGUUGCCACUGACUAUUGCGCGUGAGUGUCUCCGUCAGGCUCCACAGUGUUUGUGAAGUGGAAGGAGGGGAUGUGGUGUCGGGCCACCCUGACAGAACUGUUCCAGAGAGGUCACCUGGACCCGGUCCGCAGCUGUCCUGUUCCUGAACUUCACCGUGUCAGAGUCUACUUCCAAGACUACGGUUUCUGCAAGGGAAUAGCCCUGCAGAGGUACAGACGCACAUGCACACACGUGAAAAACCUAGUAGGCAUAAAAAGGGACAGAACAUUGAUUUGUUUUUUUCAGUCACCCAGGUCUAUCUUUCUCUUACACCUCUACUUCCCCAUUCCCAGUGAGGAGGCGGGUCCAGACCUGUUCAUCAGGGACAUGAAUGAGCGUCUGAGAAGAGUGGACGUGGCCGGCCAAUCAGAAAUGAGCCGCUGGCUCCCUCAGGCUAUCAAGUGUUCCCUCAAGGACAUUGUGCCUGCAGACCUGGUAAGUCGAUGACAUCGUGCCUGCAGAUCUUGUAAGGGGCAUACAUUUGCAUAUUGUCCAUAUUCUGACAUAACAUUUGUGUAUGUCGCCAUCUAUCUUUUUCUUCCAAGUGAAGGGCUUUUGUAUAAGUGACUAGGAUAAGUUUAGAUUUGUUUUCUUUACCUGCAUCCCCCUCCUUUUCCUCUCUUCUCUCCCAGACUAAAGGCUGGAGUGCGGAGGCCCAGGAUGAGUUUCGCCGCGUGGUGGGCUCAGCCUCAGUAGAGAUGCAGGUGUUUGGUCAGGAGAGAGGUGCUCUGCUGGUGGACCUGAAGAAAGCCCCCAUGGACAGCGGUUCCAGCAACAUGCCCAUGUCCCUCCGAGAGUACCUGGUCUUCCUCGAGCUCGCCAGGUACAUACAUACUCGGGGUUCGUAUGGUCAUGAAAAUCCUGGAAAAGACAUGGAAUUUUUUGAAUGGUGUUUUCCAGGCCUGGAAAGGUUUUGGAAAAUGAUCAAAUCUGAAAAGUUGUGGAAAAAGUAAUUUCUGUUAAUGUAAUUUGUUUAGAGACCGUUUUUAAAUAUUUUAUAAAUCAAAUUAAAAUCCACAUAUCAGCCAGGAUCGGAAUGACACUUUUGCACAGCUGUGUUUACACGCAUCACCUGCAUUUGUGAGAAAAGAGUGGGCUGUUGCUGAAGGAGAGCGAGACAGUCGAACAUUGCAGCAGCAGGUAGGCCUCGCCUAUAAAAUAUGUUAUACAACGGGUGGGUCUAAUGCUGAUUGGUUAAAAUCGCAUUCCAGACUAUUACAUAAGUUACCACCGGCUAAAUCUAUGACGUUAAAAUGCGUAUUUACUCUGUUCCAUCUGACUGGGCAACCUGCUGUCUCGUCAGCCAAGCAAUUUAUCAACUCAAUCUCCACUGUAAAAACAUCUAGACAUUAUCUCACAUUUCUUUUAGACUAACAUUUAGUUUUCAACAGCAGAGAUUGGUAUAAACCUUGCUGUCUGUCUCCGACAUUUGCAACAUUGUUUCAAUAUUCAAAUUUGAUCUCCAGCUGUCCCAUAGUAAUGAACGUGACAAGACCGGCAGGCAGCGUUUCUCAGCCAGUCGAAAUCAUGAAUCAGCUGGCAUAAUUUUUAUGGGUAUAUACAAAGAAAUGUCAAUUGAAAAAAUGUCAAACUAAACGAAGUGCAACUAGUUUGCAGUCUUUUCAGUUUGAAGGGAUUGUGUUAGCUGAGUUGUUGGCUAGCUCCUCUGAACAUUUUCUAUGCCAGCCGAAAUCGCGCCUUAUUAGAUCAUUGUUAUGGAUAUAUCCAAAUAAAUGUCACUAGAAAACAGCUUAAACAAAUGCAACUACUUUUCUGUUAUUCUGGCUGCACUUUUUUAUGUGACUGUAAAUUAGCUGUAGUUAGUUAGAUAGCAAGCAAGGGAUAAGAACAUUGCCAGCUGGAAUUGCAAGUGUGUCUCGUCCAUAGAUGCAGAACAAAAAGACUGAAUGACUGGGUCGCGUCUCUGGCACCCGAACCGAUCGAACGAACGAACGACCAGCCUGCUUGGUUAGCAACCUUAGAUUUGUGUUGGGACUAUAUCUUGUGGAAGGAUGAAAUAGUAUGAAUAUAUUCAUAAAAACAUUUUUUUAUGGAAAUAUGUCAAUGAUUAUUGUAAUAUGUUGGUAACACGUUGUAUAAAAGUGAUAAUGCCCUCGAAGCCGGUGUUUGGAGGAUAUAUUGGCACGUUUUACCGGACUUUUUCUCAGGCUGAACAGACUAAUAACUUUGUAGCCAAUUCAAAACAUAUCUUGUGCCCUUUAGUUAACUGUUAAGCUAUUGUUAGCUUGUAUUAAUGUUUUCGUCAUGUCCAAAACACUUGCGAAUAAGGCCAUACAAAGUUGAUUUACUUUUUUGAAC